rnacentral:tRNA from 1 species
AUCAGUAUGGCAGAUUAGUGCAAUGAACUUAAGAUUCAUAUAUAAAUUUAUUAUUUUACUGAAA